GCAGACCAGGUGAUCGCGGCUGCACAGACGAAAGGGUGCAGACGAGGAAAGUCCGGGCUUCACAGGGCAGGAUGCCGGAUAACGUCCGGUGGAGGUGACUCCCAGACCAGUGCAACAGAAAUAAACCGCCUUCUUUACAGAAGGUAAGGGUGGAAAGGCAGUGUAAGAGACUACCGCCUUGCUGGCAACAGGAAGGGCACAUGUAAACUCCAUCCGAAGCAAGACCAAAAAGAAAGCCAUACGGCGGCCCGUCGUGCUUUCAGGUAGGUCGCUUGAGCCGUCCGGCGACGGGCGGCCUAGAUAGAUGAUCACCCUCGACAUAACCCGGCUUAUCGGUCUGCUUG
rnacentral:RNase_P_RNA from 1 species